GGAGAUGUGGCUCAGGGGUAGAGCAUCUGCUUGGUAUGCAAAAGGUCCCAGUUUUAAUUAUUAAUAUCUCCA
rnacentral:tRNA from 1 species